rnacentral:lncRNA from 1 species
UUUUUAGUAAUCCAUUGAUUGGGAACAUUUUAGUUUUAAGCUAUCUAAGAAUUUAGAUCUCAUUAGCAUGAUCUCAUCAUGAUUCUAAAAGCAUUGCUUAAAACUAUGGGUUUAUCACAUAUUAUUAAAACAGCACCAUGUAGAUAAUAAAUGCCUUUAAUAAAUAAUUCUUUUAUUAAUAAAUAAAUAAGAUUGAUUACAAAGUAUAUGCUUUAUCAUCAUACAUGAUUGGCUUGUAUGCAUACUACUUUCAGAUUUUUCAUCAAAAUUUUAAUGGAUGAAAAUUCUUUUAACAAUGAAUUUUGUUGUAGGAUUGAUCUUAGUAUCAUCAACUAUCUAUUAACAUAUAUUGAUAAUUACUAACAAAGUUAUUAAGAUCAAAUAAUUAUGUUACGUUUGGAUUGAAGGAAUCCAUUCUAUUUGGAAUGAGUUAUUCCAUCGUUGUCCCUCUCCCAAGGAACCAAAAAUAAUUUUUUUCAUUUUAAUCUCAACCAAACACAAUUUUUUUCAUUUUAUAGGAAUGAGUCAUUCCAUUUCCACCUUUAUUAUUUCAAUCCAAAUGUAGCAUUAGUGUAUUAGAUAAAAUUGAAGGAAAUGUAUAGUGGAGGGGAGCUAAAUACGUUUUUAUCUUUUAGAAAGAAAAAAAAAUCCCUUUGUAAUAAUAAAUAUUUUUUGAAACGGAGGUAGUAAUAAAUUAAUGAGUGAGAUUCUGUAUAUUUAUCGUCAAUGAAAAGAAAUAGGUUUAAAAUUUAUAUUAAAUAGCAUAUUUAUUUCAAAAAUAAAUGUAAUCCGAUAUUUUUUCACUAUUUGAUAAACAUGUGAAUUUUUCAUCAAAAUUUUAAUCGAUGAAAAGACUGUUAACAGUGAAAAUAUUUUUGUAGAAUUGAUCUUAGUAUCAUCAACUUUCUAUUAACAUAUUUUGAUCAUUACUAACAAAAUUAUUAAGAUCAAAUAAUUAUGCUACGUUUGGAUUGAAAGAAUGGAAUGAUUAAUUCCAUUCUAGUUGAAAUGAGUUAUUUCAUGCUCACCCUCUCCCAAGAAACAAACACAAUUUUUUUCAUUCUAAUUGCAACCAAACACAACUUUUUUCAUUCCAUUCUCACCUUUAUUACUCAAAUCCAAACAUAACAUUAAUGUAUUAGAUGAAAUUGAAGAAAAUGUGUAAUGGAUGGGAGCUAAAUACAUUUUUAUCUUUUAGAAAGAAAAAAAAAUUCCUUUGUAAUAAUAAAAUUUUCAAAGGAAAUGAUAAUCUUUUUUAGGUUACAAAGGUAAUUGUAUAUGUUUUCCCAUAAAAUUAAUAAGGAGGCACUAAAAACCUUAAAUACGUACGAAAAAAGAGAGUUAAAAUAUAUGUUUAAAUAAAAUCUUCUGCAUAAGAUUUUCGAUCACAUGUCAACUUAUCGAUUAAAAUAUUUCCUUUGUUCUAAAGUAUACGAUUAUUAUUGACUUUUAAAAAUGAAUUUAAAAUAUUUUCAAAUUUAAAUUUAAAAUAAUUUAUUAAUUAUUAUGAAACAAUAAAACUUAUAAUGAGUAAUACUUUUUAAAUAAUUUAUAAUAUUUAUUAUUGUACUAAUUUAAAUUAAAAAAAAUUGUGUCGAUUUCAAGUUAAAAAUCAAAACUUUUGAAAUUGUUAAUCAGAAUAGUCAAACUUGUACAAGACCUAAAGUCCGUUUAAUUAAGCGAGCCAAUCUCGAACAAGACCUAAAAUUUGUUUAAUUAAGCGAGUCGAGCUCGAACAGUGUGGUGUUCAACUCGAGCCUGACUCAAGACCGGCUCGAGCUUGACUCGAUUAAGGCCGACUCGUUUAACAAUUAUUUAAUUAAUUUUUUUUACAUAUAUAAAUAUAUAAUACAAAAAUAAUAUAUUUCAAAUAAAGUUCUUAAUUAUGUUUGUGUAUGAUAUUAAGUUCUUACAUGAUUUUUUAAUGUGGCCUCAACGAUAUACUAAUAAUAACAAAUACCCAUAUACUAUUAUUAGCAGUAGUACGUAAUAGCAAUAUAAAUACUCAUAUAUUAAUAAUAACAAAUGAGUAUAUGCAAGGAAAAGGCGAGUGAAUAAUUCACUUACCGUAAUUGUGUAAAGUUCCAUUAAUAGGAUGAUUUCUGGUCAAAUCAUAAGAAAGAAAGAAAACUUACCUUGCAUGGGUAAAGAUCCAUUAAGAUGGUUAUAACUCAAAUAUAGAGUUUUUAGAGUAGAUAAUUUCCAUAUGAAUGAAGGAAUAUUCCCACCAAAAUCAUUCCUACUUAAAUCUAAUAUCUCUAGCAGAGUCGGCCCUGGGCAAGGGUCACCAGGGCAACCGCCCAGGGCCCACAGUUGAAAAGGGUCCAAUUUUUUUUAUAAACUUAUGUAUUUAUGUGUAUUAAAAAAAUAAUAUAAUAAAAAGAUUAACGAUAUUAUGUAUUAAAAAUGAUAUGUUAGAAAAUAUUAAAUAUGAUAGUAUAAUUGAUGAUUUUGCAUCUAAAAGUGCAACACGAAGAUAUUUUAAAUGAUGUUUUGUGGUUUAGAUUUCAUUGGGCAAAACUAAAGAAAUAUCCAUUGUAGUUGGUAGAUUUUACUCAUUAUAUCAUUGAACUUUUAAUUGUUCAAAUUACACCACUAAACUAAUUAUUAUUUUGAAAUUGGGUCAUUUCGUUAAAAAAAAAUAAACGGACGUUAAUUUUUUAUCUACAAAACUAAUGAAUUACCCACUGUAGUUGUCACAUUUUACUGAUUACACCAUUGAACUUUUAAUUUUUCAAAUUACCUCAUCAAACCAAUAAAAAAAAUUAAUUUUAAAAUUUUAAAAAAUUAUUAUUAUUUUAAGUAAAAAAUAUUAGAAAAUAUUUUUUCUUCAUAAAAUGAG